ACGGACAAAUCACGCUGAAAACACCUGUUCUCGUUCGAUCACUGGAGAUAAGUAACAUCGAACUUGGUUCGUAUUUCUAUGGGGUAGCGCUUGGGAACACCAAGUGCCGUAA